rnacentral:lncRNA from 1 species
CCAGCCUGGAGCUGCUCCGUUGCCUCAGAGCACACGGUGUGACCCAGGAGGAGCAUGGGGGUGAGCUGGGAUGGUGCUGGGUCAGUGCCUGCUGGAUGGCACAGCACUCAGUGCUCUUCCCAGGAAAGCACGGGGAUGUUUCCUGGCUUUGGCUGCUCGGUGCAACACGUGGCUUUCUGGGAACCAGCCGAGUGCUCGGCACAGCACUUCGUAAACACCACGUGGGCUGCUGGGGGGUGAUGGGGACACGAGCAGGGAGGGUCAGCUUCCCUUGGGGUGGCCCUACAGCUGACACCGGUGGUAUCUCUGUGCAGCAGCAGCUGCCGGCUUUGGUAACGUUUUAUUCCUCCUCUUUCUGAGGAAGGAAGGAACUCUGCCUUUGAACCAUUGCCACGUCCCUCCUGUUUCACUGAGCUCUCUUUAUUUGGGGGUGUGGUUGAGGAGCUGCAGUUGAGGGCUCUGUGUCCCUGCAGCCCCCCCCCAACCCCGCACCCAUGUGUGCACGCUGCAGCCCCUGCAUGGCCAUCUGCAUGGCACAGGGUCCCGACUCCCACCCUUUGGGUGCCUUGGGGGGCUCAAACAGAGCUCUGCCUGCAGAUCACUUGUGCUCCCAGACACCUUUAUGGGUUGCCCACGCCAUCCCAGCCCUCCGGCAUUUCAAACCUAGCUCCUACUUAGGAAAACAAAAGGGAUAUUGGCAACUGUCAGUUGCUCAUUUCUGUAGCUCAUUGGAAUCCCCAAAUACCACUGGGCUGAGCAAAGGCAGCUGCCAUCUGACAGCUGGCUAUUUCAGUUGAAAUCCGAAAGGAAAGUUGCUUUUUUAAGCCCCGCUGGCAGCUUUCAGCGGAGCAAUCCCUGCUGGGGUGUUUCCUCCUCACACCUGAGCUGUUCUUUCCAUCCUUUCAGCCUUCCUGCCAGCACAGCCCGGCGAUGAUGGCUGCGUGAGGUGGGGAUGUUGCAGACGUGUCUGGAAUGGAUGGGAUGCUCCAUUUGUUUGGGGGCUGCACUUGCAACCCUCUGGCAUUGGCACGGCCACUGGCACAGCCCUAUUGCUGGGGCUUGGGGCAGCCAUGGGGGCAUAGCAGUGCUGUGCUGGGACCGUGGGGCUGCCGUGGGAGGAGGAGAUACACCCAAAUGGGGACUGCCAGCAUCCCAUGGGAGCUCCCAUUGAGCAUUGCUGUAAUCGGUGAUGGAAUUGCAUCAAUUGUCAGCGUUGAGGGCUCUGACCGUGAAGGUUGAACCCUGUUACAUCAUCUGUGCUCAGAGCUUCCCAAGCCCCUGCCUUUUGGGAUUUGCCCUUUGCUUGAUUCUUCUGCAGUGAUGCUCCGUGUCCACAGCCACCCCUUACAGCAGCACUCAGCCCCGUUGGGUGUUCAUACAGCCCCCAGCCUGGGGAUGGGGUCAGCUCUGCACCGCUUACCUGCUAAGAAUAACUCUGUAGAGCAUCAGCAACGCAGCACAGGCAGCCCUGGCAGCACGGGGACGGGCAGCAGCAUGCACAUUUCCUUAUAAAGCAUUGCAAAGGCUGCAGCACGCUGCCAGCAACUCCUCUGCUUUUCCUUUCCCCGUUGCAAUUCGCCCCUCCUGGCAGCAGUGCUCAGCACAGGGCUGGGGCAUUGCUGGAGCUCUGCAGGGUCUGUGCCAGCACUGCAGGGGUGUGCUCCACUUUGAAUCCCAUUUCAGCCACCCCAGAAACAAAAGGAAAUGAUAUUGGAGCGUGUCCUGAACAACACUCGCUGCCCUUUCUCGUCGGUUUCAGUAUGAGAAGGAUGUGAGUCAUGCAAACUGCUAUUACAGGCUCUGCUUCUGCAAACCAGUUCUGCUCCUCGCAGUUCCUCUCUUCAGGGGAGGAGUGGAGGCUUUGGUAGGGCAGCUGCCCAUAACCCACAGCACUCCCUGAGCUCCAUAAGGGAUCUCUGCCCUACUGACAUGGGCCUUGGUCCUGCUCUGGGCUGGCUGCUUUUGGCACAGCUGCAGCAGAAGUUGCUCCUCUUUUUGCUGUAAAACCUUCACUUCAGCAAAAAAAACAAUAGCUGCUCAGUCUGCAAAGGCAUUGCGUUGGAUCUGAGAUAAGCUCAGACCUUCAGAUUGUCCAGAGCAGAGUUUUGCCAGCAGCCCCCACCAUGUGAUGGCGAGCGGCGUAUCUCACCGUGGCUUUGAUGGCUUUCUUAAUGCUUGCUAAUGAUCUCAACCCUUCCGCUGGGGACACGGGAGAUCUUGCGACAGGUGAUCUGCAGAGGAAUAAUAGUGAACUUUGCAUUGUGCAAAGGGUUGCUCCGGGUUGGCUGCUGGCCUUGUGCAAGCACAGUUAUCAGCAGCACCCGGAGCCCGGCUGCGUCACGCUAUGUGUGCCCGGGGCAGUGCUGAGCUCUGCAGUGCCUUUGCAGGAGGGCUGUGCUGAGCUCCCCACGGGUGGUUUCUUCCCCAGCUCUGUGCUCGUGGUCAGAACAAAGCAAAGUGCCAACCCGUGCAGCCCCCUCCUCCCCUCCCACCUCCUUGAAACGCUCUUCUAGGAACCGAAUUUCCGCAGCGUGUGCAGAACUCUGAGCUGCCUUUUGCAAUCGGGCGCAGCCAUCGUUGUGCAGACAGCCACGGGGAGGGGGGGCUGAGGCUGUGGCAGGCACUGUGCAUGACUUUUAGUAUGAUUGAGUGAAUCCCAAUCUAAUAGAGCUGGGGAAAAAAAAAUACAGAUCUGGGGCAAAGAGUCCCCGCGGUGUGCAGGCGGCCUCGUUUGGCCUCAGAGGUUCUCAGCGCUGCUGUGGUAACACAGUGUCCCUGUCCUGUCCCCAUCUCCUCCUUUCCUUGCUCUCCCUGAUGGCGUCAGCAUGAGCUCUGUGCCAUGCAGGUAGGAACACUCUCCUGCUGCUGCUGCUGGAGCGCCUCGUGUUCCCCUGCGCACGCACGCAGUUCAGUUCCUUCGGGCUCAGUCCGGGUGCUGCUCUUUGGUUCUGCAAUUAGUUCACAGCCUUUUGUUUUCGUUGGCCUUGGGGAAGUGACCUCUCCUUUCCCACAGCCUUUCCCAGCUGUGCUCCCACGCUGCUGCCCAGGGAGCCCCCGUGCAGAGCCCCAACCUGGGCAGGACAGUGCCCAUGGGCUGCACACCGGUGCUGUCCUGAUCUACCAAUGGUAGACCAACGUUUAACCAGUGGUCACCUGUUGGUCAACCAUUGGUCAGUCGUUGGUCAACCACUGGUAAACUGUUGGCCAACCGUUGGGUCUACCAUUGGUCAACUGUUGGUCAACCAGGUCACCAUUGGUGCUCUUGGCCACCAGGGCUGUCUGCUGGCUCAUGGUCACCCCGUUGGCCAUCAAGACCCCCAUAUCCUUCUCUGCAGAGCUCCCUUCCAGCAGCACAGCCCCCAGCACGUGCUAUUUCCCCACCAGAUGGAGGACCCUACGCCUCCCCUUGAUGAACCCCUCCAGCUUCCUCUCCUCCCCUCUCCAUCCCAUCUCAUCCCCACUGCAGGGCAGCACAGCCCUGCGUGCACAUCUCCUAGGGCCCCUCGCUGCAUACCCUGACCCCCCCCCAGCCGUGCACAGUGCCCUCAGCCCCAGCUCUGCUUUGUGUCGUCAGCAGAUGCUUCCCUUCAUCUCCCCACCACGUGGGUGGCAGUGCUGCGUCACGGCUCUCCGGGUGCUUCCAUGAGCUCUCUUUGCUUUCUUCCUCUUCUGUCUUGCACUUAUUGCCUUUGUUCUCCAGUGCUGUGGCUGACGGUUGUGCAUGCAGGCUGGGCUGGGAGACACCUCUCACCACAAAGCCAUGUGUCAGAGGUUUGCCUGUUUGCAGCCUGCAAAUGAACACAGCCUGCAUGCAGUGUUCUGGGUGCUUCACUUCUCUUUAAGGGAUUUUUCUUCAUUCCUUUUCCUUUUCUGGUUGUAAAAACCCACUCCCCAUACAGCUCCUGGGGGUGUGGGGGGAUUGCUUUGUGCCUCAGAAGAGCAAACUGCAGUGUUUACAUCUGUGGAGGGUGGAUGAGGUCAGCACUGUGUCA